rnacentral:rRNA from 1 species
CCCUGCCAUUUGUACACACCGCCCGUCGCACCUACCGAUUGAACGGUCCGAUGAAAUCAUGGGACUCGGCUUUCGUUGCUUUACUGUGACGCUGGCUGGGGAACUAGAGUGAAUCUUAUCGUUUAGAGGAAGGU